GGGGCCACUCCCACAACGCAGGCGAGGCGGAAGCGGUUUAGGGCAGAAGUUGGAAGGCAAGCUGUGAAUUUGGGCAAACUCGGGGAGAUAGUGAAGGAUAGAGGAGCCUAGCGUGCUACAGUCCAUUGAGUCGCAAAGAAUCGCACACAACUUCGCGACUGAACAACAACAACGGAGGGCCUAUGAGGCGAGGGGCGAAGGCCGGAGGGAGGCGGGCCCUGGAGGAGGCGAAGAGGGGCUAAGACCCCGGCUUGAGUUUGUGUGAGAGUUCAAUGUCACAGGUGUAGGCGCUGGGAGGAGGAAGCCGUACCUGUAGGGGCGUGGCCGCAUCUAAGUGGACCGGAGCCUUGCCUAAAGGGCGGGGUCUGCGACCAGGGUUGUGGAAUGGAAGUCUUAAGUGUGAUUCCAAACCUCCUUAGAAUCUGAUCCCUCACUUGGGCAGUUCCGAUCUGCCCAGUCCCAUCUGGCCCCCGGUCCUGAGUUGCUCCUGGGUGGUGUACCCUAGGUGCCAAGGUUAAGGUAAAGCGUGGCACUACUUGCGAUUUCUUCGUUCUAUCACGGUUCUCACACUCUGCUUUCUCUUUCCUAGCGAGGGAUGGAACCAUUCACUCACUAAGCGCUUCGGUCUAGACCGCUUUUCUUCGGAGAACUCGGUACCACCCUUCCCGCAGAAAUCUGCUCAGCUGUUAAUCACGGGAGAGAGUCUCCUGACCAACGUACCUAAAAUUAAAGUUCUCUGCCGACCUCCCGCCGGCAUCCUCUAACCCUCUUGUUGUCUUCGUAGUUCCCGCCGCCGCCUGGCAUCACACCCACAGAAGGCAUGACGCAGACCGCUGGUGGGAGCUGAGGGAAGACAGUGUGAACACGGGCUGAGACUUGAGGGUGGGGAAGUGCGCUGAGUAGGCGGCGCGUUUGCAGUUAACUCUAGAGGAUUGAUUGGGCUACCCUGGUGGCUCAGAUGGUAAAGAAUCUGCAGGCAAUGAGAGAGACUCGGGUUCGAUCCCUGAGUUGGGAAGAUCCCUUGACGAAGGAAAUAGCAACCCGCUCCACUCCAGUAUUCUUGCCUGGUGAAUCCCAUGGACAGAGGAGCCUGGAAGGCUACAGUCAAUGGAGAUAGCAAAGAGGCGGACACAACUGAGCGACUAACACACACAUAACAAUGCUGGGGAGAGAUUGAGGGCUCCUGCAGAGGGCAAGAGGCACUCCAGGAACAUCGUGGGAUCACACUGCCUGUCACACCCUCCCAGGACCCUGAGCCCCAAAACAACCCAGCCUUGGGACCCUAGCCUGCCCAGUCUUCAGAGAUGUGAUACCAGCCAAGAUCAUUUAGGCAACUGGGAAAACAGGAGAAUGGACAGUAUGUCUGAGGAGCUUCCUCUGCUGGUGACUGAAGGGGACUCAGAUUUGAACCUGGCACCUGAAGAUGGAGGAGGCCACCUUGAAGGAACAAAGAAUAGCCACAAGGAGCUGAGAAGGAUCCCUGGCCAACAGGAAAUGAGGAUCCCAGCCCUACAACCACAAGGAGCUGAAACCUGCCAACAGCAGUAAUGAACUAGGAAGAGGAUCCCAAAUGCCAGAGGAGAUCACAACAGCUGGAAACUUUGAUUUUACCCUUGUAAGCACUGCUCAAAGAACCCAAUCAUGCCAUCCUGGAAUUCUAACCUGCAGACCUGGGAGAGAAUAAAAGGAUAUUGUUUUAAGACACUAAGUGGUCAUGAAGUGAAAGUUGCUCAGUCGUGUCCAACUCUUUGUGACCCCAUGGACUAUACAGUCUAUGGAGUUCGUCAGGCCAGAAUGCUGAAGUGGGUAGCCUUUCCCUUCACCAGAGUAUCUUCGCAAACCAGGGAUCAAACCCAGGUCUCCUGCACUGCAGGCAGUCUUUACCAGCUGAGCCAUGAGGGAAGCCCAAGUGGUCUGAUGUUACAAUAACAGUGGAAAGUGAACACACCAACUGCUGGGUACAUUCACACACGUGAAGGGGCAGGUCAGGACAGGCCAGCAGAUAAAAGAGGCCCAGGAGGACUUGGAGUUGACGAUAAUCACCCCCACCUCAUCAGGUUGUGGA